rnacentral:rRNA from 2 species
UACUUGGGGCAAGGGCUUAUGUUUCAUAAGCUUUUUGAUCCUUUUGGAAAAAGGUUAAAGUUACCUCGGGGAUAACUAGGUAAGAAACGAAGAGAGAUCAUAUCGGUUCGUUUAUUUGCCAUCUCGAUGUUGGCUUGGGGUAAAGGCGGAGGUGUAGGGGUUUCCGCUUUAGGUCUGUUCGACCUGUAAACCC